rnacentral:lncRNA from 1 species
GCCCAAAGGAUGAUGUGGUUUCAGAAGCCGCAGGAGGCCAGAAGAGGGAAGUCAGACUCCCUGGGAACUGGAGCCAGCCUCCGUGUGGAUGCUGCAACCGGAUCACCGGUCUUUUGGAAGAGCUGACUCCAGCCACCCUCUGCCUUAUUUUUGAGACAGGUCUCUUCACUGAACCUGGGAGGUUACCAAUCCAGAUAGGCUUCCUGGUCACAGAGUCAAGGGACGCUCCUGUCCUCAUUUCCCAAACAAUGGGAUCAUGGACAUACAGUUUCACACCAAAUUUUUUUGCAUAGGUACCAGGGAUUUGAAC